UACGUAGGGUGCGAGCGUUAAUCGGAAUUACUGGGCGUAAAGCGUGCGCAGGCGGUUUUGUAAGCCAGAUGUGAAAGCCCCGGGCUCAACCUGGGAAUGGCAUUUGGGACUGCAAGGCUUGAGUGCGGCAGAGGAGACUGGAAUUCCUGGUGUAGCAGUGAAAUGCGUAGAUAUCAGGAGGAAUACCGAUGGCGAAGGCAGCCCCCUGGGCCAAUACUGACGCUCAUGCACGAAAGCGUGGGGAGCAAACAGG
rnacentral:rRNA from 1 species